GAGUUUGAUCAUGGCUCAGGACGAACGCUGGCGGCGCGCCUAACACAUGCAAGUCGAACGGAGCUAUUUUGGAAGAACCCUUCGGGGGGACUCUGGCUUAGCUUAGUGGCGGACGGGUGAGUAACACGUGAGCAACCUGCCUCUCAGAGGGGGAUAACGUUCGGAAACGAACGCUAAUACCGCAUGACAUCAUUUUCCCGCAUGGGGAGAUGAUCAAAGGAGCAAUCCGCUGAGAGAUGGGCUCGCGUCCGAUUAGAUAGUUGGCGGGAUAACAGCCCACCAAGUCGACGAUCGGUAGCCGGACUGAGAGGUUGAUCGGCCACAUUGGGACUGAGACACGGCCCAGACUCCUACGGGAGGCAGCAGCGGGGAUAUUGCACAAUGGCGAAAGCCUGAUGCAGCGACGCCGCGU
rnacentral:rRNA from 1 species